rnacentral:rRNA from 1 species
UACGGAGGGGGCUAGCGUUGUUCGGAAUUACUGGGCGUAAAGGGCGCGUAGGCGGGAUGGCAAGUCGGUCGUGAAAUCCUUCGGCUCAACCGAAGAACGUCGGCCGAUACUGCCGUUCUUGAGGGAUGCAGAGGAGAUUGGAAUUCCCGGUGUAGCGGUGAAAUGUGUAGAGAUCGGGAGGAACACCGGUGGCGAAGGCGGGUCUCUGGGCAUCUCCUGACGCUGAGGCGCGAAAGCGUGGGGAGCAAACGGG